rnacentral:rRNA from 1 species
GAUGAACGCUGGCGGCGUGCCUAAUACAUGCAAGUCGAGCGAACAGAUAAGGAGCUUGCUCCUUUGACGUUAGCGGCGGACGGGUGAGUAACACGUGGGUAACCUACCUAUAAGACUGGAAUAACUCCGGGAAACCGGGGCUAAUGCCGGAUAACAUUUAGAACCGCAUGGUUCUAAAGUGAAAGAUGGUUUUACUAUCACUUAUAGAUGGACCCGCGCCGUAUUAGCUAGUUGGUAAGGUAACGGCUUACCAAGGCAACGAUACGUAGCCGACCUGAGAGGGUGAUCGGCCACACUGGAACUGAGACACGGUCCAGACUCCCACGGGAGGCAGCAGUAGGGAAUCUUCCGCAAUGGGCGAAAGCCUGACGGAGCAACGCCGCGUGAGCGAUGAAGGUCUUCGGAUCGUAAAACUCUGUUAUUAGGGAAGAACAAAUGUGUAAGUAACUGUGCACGUCUUGACGGUACCUAAUCAGAAAGCCACGGCUAACUACGUG